GCCCCCCUGGUCGAGUAUCACUUCGCCACACCACCUGACCACACUCGGUCGUUCACUCUACCACCUUACUCGACCCCCUGGUCGAGUAUCGUCACUCACCACCAACACCAUCACUCGACAAGACACUCGAUCACAUCUUCAUAGUCUACUCAAAUCUCUAUUCGAUUACCCCAUCCUUAGGAAUCUCUCGUCAAUCGGAUUUCUUUGUUUUAUCGUUACCGCUAAAUCGUUCUCAUUGCUUGUUUCUUCGUUUUUCCAAUUACUCGAUCAACUUACUCGACCACACCCAGUGUCUUGCAACAGACUGUGUAGUCGAGUACGGUUGUCUCAUAGACUGUUUGUUACAUGACCAGUAUACUCGACCACACCCAGUGUCUGGCAACAGACUGUGCAGUCGAGUAUAUCUGUUUCAUAUCAUGUAUGUUACUCGACCUGUUACUCGACCACAUCCUACUUCUGGCAUCAGCCUGUUGUGGUCGAGUGACUUUAGUAAUUCUGUUAUUAUUUCUGUUUUCUGCAUGUUUGCUUAGGAUUGUUAGAAACCCCAAAACUGUUAUUGCUUGGCUUGACUUAUUGACUUCUGAUCACAUCUCAUCUGUUUGCAUCACACCUAUUUGGAUUGACACCUAAAAUACUACAACGACAUGAUUGGUGUUUUAGGAUAAUUGACUAAAAACCUAUUAUCAUUUAACAUGGAAGCACUACUUUACUUUUCGGGAUCUUGUUGAGGUUUUAGUUUUAUAUUCAAUCAUACGAAUAACAUGUUGUCAUAUUUCACUCUGAAACGCUAACCAAAAUUUUUCUUGCUUCUUUAAGUAUUAUAGUAUAUUUGCUCCUAAACACUAAACCUAAACCCUACACCUUAAAUCCCAAACCCUAAAUCUAAUUCCUUAACCCUAAAACCUAAACCCUAAACCCUAAACCCUAAACCCUAACGCUAAACCUUAAACCCUAACUCUAAACCAUAAACCGUACACCCAAAACCUUAAAACA
rnacentral:sRNA from 1 species